rnacentral:rRNA from 1 species
UUAGAGUUUGAUCCUGGCUCAGGAUGAACGCUAGCGGCAGGCCUAAUACAUGCAAGUCGGACGGUAAGGGCCCUUCGGGGCUCGAGAGUGGCGCACGGGUGCGUAACGCGUAUGCAACCAACCCACGGCCGGGGGAUAGCCGGUGGAAACGCCGGAUAAUACCCCAUGGUUCCCUCUGGGGGCAUCCUCGGGGGGAUAAGGAAGCGAUUCGGCCGCGGACGGGCAUGCGUCCCAUUAGCUUGUAGGCGGGGUGAGGGCCCACCUAGGCUACGAUGGGUAGGGGAUCUGAGAGGACGGUCCCCCACACUGGUACUGAGACACGGACCAGACUCCUACGGGAGGCAGCAGUAAGGGAUAUUGGGCAAUGGGGGGAACCCUGACCCAGCCAUGCCGCGUGAGGGAAUGAGGCCCUACGGGUCGUGAACCUCUUUUGUCCGGGGAUAACCUCCCCCGCGGGACGGGGGACUGCAGGUACCGGGCGAAUAAGCAUCGGCUAACUCCGUGCCAGCAGCCGCGGUAAUACGGAGGAUGCGAGCGUUAUCCGGAUUCAUUGGGUUUAAAGGGUGCGCAGGCGGCGUGUUAAGUCAGCGGUGAAAGUCAGGGGCCCAACCCCGGAAGUGCCGUUGAUACUGGCGCGCUGGAAUGCGGUCGAGGCGGGCGGAAUGUGGCGUGUAGCGGUGAAAUGCAUAGAUAUGCCACAGAACUCCGAUAGCGAAGGCAGCCCGCCAGGCCUGCAUUGACGCUCAGGCACGAAAGCGUGGGGAUCGAACAGGAUUAGAUACCCUGGUAGUCCACGCCGUAAACGAUGGACGCUCGUCGUCGGCGGCACACGGCCGGCGGGCCAAGCGAAAGUGAUAAGCGUCCCACCUGGGGAGUACGGUCGCAAGGCUGAAACUCAAAGGAAUUGACGGGGGCCCGCACAAGCGGUGGAGCAUGUGGUUUAAUUCGAUGAUACGCGAGGAACCUUACCCGGGCUCGAACGGAAGGCGAAGGGAUCCAGAGAUGGUGACGUCCUACGGGACGCCUUCCGAGGUGCUGCAUGGUUGUCGUCAGCUCGUGCCGUGAGGUGUCGGGUCAAGUCCCAUAACGAGCGCAACCCCUGCGUCCUGUUGCCAGCGGUCAGGCCGGGCACUCUGGACGGACUGCCCGCGCAAGCGGAGAGGAAGGCGGGGAUGACGUCAAAUCAGCACGGCCCUUACGUCCGGGGCGACACACGUGCUACAAUGGCCGGCACAGAGGGCAGCCACGCGGCGACGCGGAGCGAAUCCCUAAAGCCGGUCUCAGUCCGGAUUGUAGGCUGAAACUCGCCUACAUGAAGCUGGAGUUACUAGUAAUCGCAGAUCAGAAUGCUGCGGUGAAUGCGUUCCCGGGUCUUGUACACACCGCCGGUCA